GUGCCCGUAGCUCAAUUGGAUAGAGUAUCAGAUUCCGAUUCUGACGGUUGCAGGUUCGAGACCUGUCGGGUGCG
rnacentral:tRNA from 2 species